GCGGACGGGUGAGUAACACGUGGAUAACCUACCUAUAAGACUGGGAUAACUUCGGGAAACCGGAGCUAAUACCGGAUAAUAUAUUGAACCGCAUGGUUCAAUAGUGAAAGACGGUUUUGCUGUCACUUAUAGAUGGAUCCGCGCCGCAUUAGCUAGUUGGUAAGGUAACGGCUUACCAAGGCAACGAUGCGUAGCCGGCCUGAGAGGGUGAUCGGCCACACUGGAACUGAGACACGGUCCAG
rnacentral:rRNA from 1 species